rnacentral:lncRNA from 1 species
ACAAGCAAACGGAAAACAAGGGUGGGCCGUUCGUUUACACUACGAGUUUAUUAAAUGUGCAAUCUCUGAUGGACCAAAAAUUGACUGGAGUAUAACUUAUGAACUCAGCAAGCAAAUGGACUCUAAUAUUAUUAGUAUAUUUCGGGUAGAAGGAGUAUGAUGAAAAUUUUCAAGAGAGAAACUCUAAUAUUUCAGACAUUAUUUUAUUUAUUUAUUUGGAAAUGUGGAUGCCGUACUUCCAGCAUAGUCCCAAACCCCCAACUCCAAGGUCAGUUUCUUCCUCUUUCAAGUCGCAUCGACCCCCGUAAUCAGAACCACAUAAAUAUCACCACCGUUAUUAGUAUAAGAAUUGGGCUGUGCCUGUGGAUUGGCAUGUGGGCUGUGUAACUUUCUCUUGCCUCAUAUGUCUGUCACUUUAGACCAUUGUAUUGUAUUAAAAGACUCGCCUCAUAAUAAAGUAAGUUAGGAACAUUGACCUACCUAGAAAAUUAUACACGAGAACAAAAAAUAUUAGACAAAUCCAACAAGUAAGAGCUAAUCCCAAGACUAAAGCCUAUAGAACAACAUGAUUGAGUUUUUUGAAGAAUUAAUUAAAAUAUUAAGAGAAAUAUAUACAUACAUGUGGCAACAUGAUAAAUGCAUGCUGCCUAACUACCCACCAUGCUAACAUGCAAGAGUUGGUAAUGAAAACAAU